rnacentral:rRNA from 1 species
CACGUAGGGCGCAAGCGUUGUCCGGAAUUAUUGGGCGUAAAGAGCUCGUAGGUGGUUUGUUACGUCUGCUGUGAAAACCUAGGGCUUAACCCUGGGCUUGCAGUGGAUACGGGCAGACUAGAGGUAGGUAGGGGAGAAUGGAAUUCCUGGUGUAGCGGUGAAAUGCGUAGAUAUCUGGAGGAACACCGGUGGCGAAGGCGGCAUCCUGGACCGACACUGACGCUGAGGAGCGAAAGCCAGGGGAGCAAACGGG